ensembl:lncRNA
GCUGGCAGGUUCUAGGCUAGAUGCCAGGAUUCCUUGCAAUCUAGACCAGGGAUCUCUCCAGUAACGACCCCAGCCUUGAAUCCUCUACUGACUGGCUUUGAGGAUGGGGGAUUUGCAUCCUGCUGCCAGCUCUGAGACUCACUCCCAGUCUUGGGUCAGUGUCCAGGUUUGCAGACACCAAUGCAAAGGAGGACUGGCGUGUGCAGCUUAUAGGAAUUCAGGAGCCACCUGUUAGCGGGCACCUCUGUCGUGCCAGGCACCAUACUAGGCUUCUGGGCAUCUGGCACAGCACACACGAUUUUAUUUGUUCUUCACCCAAAUACUACAAUGAGAAUCUUCCUGUUUCCACGGUCAUGAGAAGGAGCUCAGCAACACAUUCAGCAUCAGUCAGCGGAAAAGUGUUGGAGCUGGGUUUAAUGCUGAUUCUCUUCGGUUACCUUGCACAUGAGAAUCUUAAAAGAGAAACCAAGUCCCGACACCUCUCCAAGGUUUAGGAAAAGCUAUUAGGGACGAGGCUGGACUGGGACAUCUGUCCACUUGGGAGAAACAGGGCUGCCCUGUGGGGAACCCUAUGUCCCGUGGCUGCUCUGCCCUAGGGUUAGGGUGCUGUGUUGUGGGAGGGUACUAAGUGGCCCUGGCUCCAGGGCUAAGAGGGCCUCUCCUUCUCUUGGUUCCGGGAGCCGUGACUUCACUGUGUGCUACCAGCUGUGGUGAGCAGUAGGGAGAGUCCAGUCCAGUCCUGAGUGCAACCCCCAGAUGGUUGAUCCCGGAGGCCAGGUGCACGAUGGAUGUCUGUAGUUACCAGAGCCUGGCAUUUGGGGGCUCUUGAAUGCAACUCACUAAGGUGAUACUGGAAAGUCUCUCGAGUGCCUUGAGGUUGGUUGUUGGGCAUCUGAGGAGGAGCGCUCAGCCUUAGGAGCAGACAGUCUGGCCUCUGCAGACAUCCUCUGUUCACCCAGGAAGGGGCUGGGCCACCACACUGCAUCCUUCUGCCUGGCCGUCCCCUCCGCCCCUCCUCCACCUUAUAUAAUGGCACAUUAUACAACAUUGCAAAGCAGGUGGUAUUUUUAAAGACAGCAAGUGAGCAUUUUUUUGGCCUAAAUUUGGGAAUGAAACAGAUGGAUUUUUAAGACUCUGAGCUUUUCCUAUGAAUAGUAACCCUUGUUCUCCUCUGCUUUUAAACACCAGUUUCAAGACCACCUCUAGCAACCAAUCAGCACUCUAUUUAAUUAUAACAAAAUUCUUAGCUCUGUCUGCUGCUGCUCGGACAAGUGGGGGGCACUGGAUCAAUUUCUGGAGCCAGGCAGACUUGCCAACAACAAUUUUCUUUUUCCCAGAGGGCCUCGGAGGCCGGCAGCAGGUUCCAAGCCCUUCCUCUCCUGCCCGCUCGGCGUGGGCUCCUUGACAGCGAGUUUGAAAAGGGUUACAGAGAGGCAGAUAAAUGCCCGGCUUGUUGCAGCCUUCCUGACAGCGCCGACCCCCGCGCCAGUGAGCUCAUGCCCGCCUCAUUACGCGUGGUGCCAGAUUUUUUCCAUUAACAGGUAAUUGAGUAGAAACUAAAAUAAGCGAAGUUUGUUCAUCCCUUGGAUUUUCUUGCCGGGGUUUGAAAGAAAAACACUUUAGCUUCGUUAGUGGAGGAGUGUCCUUGAAAACGUAUUUAUGUUUUCCAAGUGAUUUGUCGCUUGGUAGGUGUAAUGAGCCCGUUCCCCUGGCCUCUCCCUUCUUGUUUUUCUUCUUUAAGGGCCAUGAUGUUCAGAGAAUAGGAGCUGGUUUCCUGGGCCCCUGGCUGUCUGUAUGCUCUGUUCAUGGUAGAGAGCUUAUUUUUCUCUCUUCUCUCUCCCUAUUGCACUCGCAUGGUGUGCGUGCACACACACCCUGGAAAAUCACCCAUAGAAGCCUGUUGAUGGAUCACACAGUCUUAGCCUGCAACCUACAGGGCCCAGCUGUCAGGUGCCCUCAGGACGACUGGCCCCGCCCCCAGGGGCCCCAGGCUGGCCCCGCCCCCAAGCGUCCCAGGCCAGCCCCGCCCCCGUCUCCGUGCCCUGCGCCUGCGCGCAGGUGCUCCAGGUGGAUGGCCUGCCCCUCUGAGGGGCAUUCAGAAGCAAAGCGAGGAACAGAUGUGUGAGCCCUGAGGUCUCCAGUCUUCCUGUUUCCCAUCUUGCUGGGCUCCUAUCUCAGCUGGUCUGUUUUCAGCUUCAUGAAGAAGAUUCCUCAUCACUGCCCAGCCCCAAGUUCUCCGUUAGGGUUGGAGCUUCGGAUGAGAUGUGUGUGUGUGUUUGGUACUUGAAAUACAGAGAAAGAGACCGUCAAGUGGAAUUAAGACACUGAGCCUGUUUCCGGGAAGCCCAGUGAGAUGGAAAUGCUUGGGCCAGCGACGGACACGUGGAGUCUGUUCCAUGAACACGGGUUGUCAUUACUGCUCCUGUUGCCCUGUGCUGUCUGGGGCAGGAGAGAGAAGGACCCUGACCAAGGGCAGUGUUCUAGGACGAGAAGACCAUGGCCCACAUGAUAUGCUUUUGGAAGGCCGCAAGACUCAAAUUUGCACAGUGCCCCCAAGGCCUAGACCCGUGCCAUGGAAUUGUUCAGGGUGGCCCUGAAGACAUUUCAGUCUCCCCAGACCCCUGUUCAAGCGCAGACACCCCAGGGGAGGGCUGAUGGCUUCAGCCCUCUCAGCUGAGGCCCAGAGAGAGAGAGGCCUUGGGAGGACACAGGUGGGCUCAAGGGCAGGUGAUGUCCCCAGAGCCUGAAACUUGGCCUCUGGCCCCCAUUCCUGAGCCCAGCAUGCAGAUCCACUUUUUUGGCCUUGAAUUAUCCUGGCUAAAGGCAGACAUUGGAAAAGAUUAUUUAUAAAAAGGUCUUGGAACGAGAAAUGAUUUCUAUUUUGCUAAUGCGAUAUUUUUGAGUGAGAAACAGAAAAGAGGGGAUGAAUGGGUGAGGGAGUGAAUGAAGGGCAAGAAACUCAGAAGCUCUUGUAGAUUCAUACAGUUUGUCUUCAAAUCCACCCACCAUUCCAUCUCCUCUUCCUCUUGUUUCAGAGGGACAGUAACUGAGUCUAGUGACCAAGGAGCUGGGCCAGACCACUUC